CGCCGCGCGGGCCACCGGAUUCCGUGGUUUUGACGCUUGGGCUGUCGAUGAUCGCAACCGGCGGGUUCACACCCGCCCGCGUUGU
rnacentral:tRNA from 1 species